UAACAAAAUCUGAUGAUACCUAGACUUAAAUGAAAUGGCAUCCAGGAAAAGAAGUGGCCGGCAACCAGUUUGAAAGCCAUGUAUACAAGAUUGGAAAGACAUAAAUAGCCGCUGAAAUCUUCUGUCCUCACCAACCACCAGAUCAACCAUACUUCCAGGGAUUACGUGAGAACGCAGAGAUCAUUUUGGGGCGAGAGAGGAUUCUAUUGCAGACGCUGUUCCAGGAUCGGUUAACACAGGAAGCGAAAGCAAACGAUUUAGCCGGCAAUAGAAUGUUAUGUAGAAGGUCGUCGUUCAUGGAGGCGAUGAAAACCAUGUCAUUCAUAGCUGGCUUCUUCUUCGAUUUCUCGCUACUUACCUUUGUCAUCUCCUUCUUCGUCUGAGAGAGACGCUUCCGCCGCGAGAUACAAUUUUUUUCCUUUUUUUCUCCGGCGAAUUUAUUUGGGCUUAUUUGUUUGUUAAAAAUAAAAGUUACAUUGGGCUUUCCCAGAAACGGCCCAAUAUCCGAAAACGGGUAUCGUGAACAUGUAAUUAUACUCCCUCCGUUAUUUAAUAUAAGAUUUUUGUUGAAAA